AGUGAACGCUGGCGGCAGGCCUAACGCAUGCAAGUCGAGCGGCAGUGCGGGGGCAACCCUGGCGGCGAGCGGCGGACGGGUGAGGAAUUCGUCGGAAUCUGCCUUUUUGUGGGGGAUAACGUAGGGAAACUUACGCUAAUACCGCAUACGUCCUACGGGAGAAAGUGGGGGACCGCAAGGCCUCACGCAGAAAGAUGAGCCGACGACCGAUUAGCUGGUUGGUGGGGUAAAGGCCCACCAAGGCGACGAUCGGUAGCUGGUCUGAGAGGAUGAUCAGCCACACUGGGACUGAGACACGGCCCAGACUCCUACGGGAGGCAGCAGUGGGGAAUAUUGGACAAUGGGCGCAAGCCUGAUCCAGCCAUGCCGCGUGUGUGAAGAAGGCCUUCGGGUUGUAAAGCACUUUUGUCCGGAAAGAAAUCCCUGGAGCUAAUACCUUCGGGGGAUGACGGUACCGGAAGAAUAAGCACCGGCUAACUUCGU
rnacentral:rRNA from 1 species